UUUGGUCACAGUUUGGCGCCGUCGCUUUUCUUCUGUUUACGACGUUCACGUGUUUCACGUUACGGGUUUGAAGUUUUGAAUGCAUUUCUAGCAGCGCCGCUGCUGCAGCGGUCACAUGGCGGUAACAUGAGUAUUGUGGUGGUGUGCCCGUCCAUUUUGAACUACUUGGGAUUCUAGGCUUUCAGGCACGCUGUCUCGUGGGUGGGCAACUAUUUCUCUGAGCAAGUGAUGUCUAGCGGGUUCAGGAUUGUAUCCUUGCUGUGAUAUGCGAACCUCCUUCCCAGCCUGAGCAUCACCCGUGGGAUGAGGUAUUUCUCUGCUGCGACACAUGUCAGGUACUGUACACAGAGCAAGAGUGGCUGCCAGACACCUGCCUAUCCACUGCAAUUAUAUUUAGCCUCCGGUGACAGCUACAAAAGUAUUGCGUAUAACUCUCUCUUGGGAGAUCGAACUGUAUCUAAUAUUGUAAAAGAAGUAGCUACCGCUGUAUGGAAAGAAAUGCAACCAAAGUAUUUAGCGGAACCUACAACACAGACAUGGAAAUCAGUCGCUUCACGGUUUGAACAUAGAUGGCAAUUCCCACACUGCGUUGGUGCAGUCGAUGGAAAACAUGUUCUUAUUAAAAAAAACCUGGCAAAAGCGGAUCAUUGUACUUUAAUUAUAAACAUACAUGCUCCAUCGUUUUGAUGGCGACGGUUGACGCAGAUAACAAAUUUAUCACCGUUGAUGUUGGCGCAGUGGGACGAUUCAGCGAUGGACAUGUACUCGUAUUUGCUAGCAGUGUGUUGGCCAAGAAAAUGAGAAAAAACACGUUAUUACUUACCAUUCCUGAACUAAUACCUACAAUUUCUGAUCCAAUGCCGUAUGUGUUUGUGGGAGAUGAAGCUUUCCCAUUGUCGGAAAACAUUAUGAGACCAUAUCCUAAGAGACAGUUUACCGACAAUUACGAACAUCAGGUCUUCAAUGCCAGACUUUCUCGAGCACUACAAACUGUGGGAUGUGCUUUCGGUAUACUAUCAUCACGUUUCCGUGCGUUCAGGAAACCAUUUGAAACCAAAGUCGACACAGUGAAAGAUGUUGUGAAAGCAGCCUGCGUUCUGCACAACUAUUUACGAUCUUCAGUAGUAGUUGCAGAUGAUGUAAAUGACAUCGAAUCGUUGCCAGCAACUCAGUUACUUCGUGUGCGAGGGAACAGGAGGAGGACUUCAUCAACUGCCUUCAAAGUGAGGAAAAAUUUCACUCAAUAUUUCAACACUUGCGGAGCAGUUCCAUGGCAACAUCAGUCAGUUCUGCUUGGUAAUUAUUGACAAUAUAGCAACUUCCAAUUAUUGUACCAUUAUUGUGCUCCACAGGUUAUGU